rnacentral:rRNA from 1 species
UACGGAGGGGGCGAGCGUUAUUCGGAAUUAUUGGGCGUAAAGGGCGCGUAGGCGGCCCUGUAAGUCAAAGGUGAAAUCCCUCGGCUCAACUGAGGAACUGCCUUUGAAACUGCAGGCUUUGAGGCCGGGGAGGGGGUAGCGGAAUUCCCAAUGUAGCGGUGAAAUGCGUAGAUAUUGGGAGGAACACCAGUGGCGAAGGCGGCUACCUGGACCGGUUCUGGACGCUGAGGCGCGAAAGCGUGGGUAGCAAACAGG